rnacentral:rRNA from 1 species
UACGGGGGGUGCGAGCGUUGUCCGGAAUCAUUGGGCGUAAAGGGCGCGUAGGUGGCCCGGUCAGUUCGUGGUGAAAGCGCGGGGCUCAACCCUGCGUCGGCCAUGAAUACUGCCGCGGCUGGAGCACUGUAGAGGCAGGCGGAAUUCCGGGUGUAGCGGUGGAAUGCGUAGAGAUCGGGAGGAACACCAGUGGCGAAGGCGGCUACCUGGACCAGCACUGACGCUGAGGCAUGAAAGCGUGGGGAGCAAACAGG